AAGGGCCUGUUUCCACACAAUUAAUCCAAUUACUAUUUGUACAGGAACACGACCACUGUAACACAGUACUCUCCCAGACAAGUUACUGUUUUCAUUGUGUUUACACAGGGGAGGAGAGAGAGAGAGACCACCCAGUGGGAAGUGUCUGGACCCUGCUUCCUUCAGCCCCCAACCAAUAUCUAGGCCCUUCCCCCAUCCAUCGCAGCCAGUGCCUGGACACUCCCACAGAGUCAAGACCUUCCGACAGACACUGUCUGGACUCACCCUCCCUCAGCCCUAGCCAAUGUCUAGAGCCUUCUCCCUUUCUGAGCCAGUGCCUGGGCCCUCUCUCCCUCCGCCCCAGCCCGGACCCUCCCUCCCUCCACCUUCACCCGACCCCAGUCAGUGUGUGUGGACAUUUCCCCCCUCCUCCUCCGGCCGGUGAGUGGCCCUCAAGGGCGGGGGUUAGGGUUACCUUGCCUCCAUGACGGGGAUGAGCUGCUGCUUCAUCCACCUGACGUCCCUGGGGGCCGAGUCAUCGAAGGACAUGAAGACCAGUUCAAGGAAACGUCUAAGAAUUCGGAUUUGCAGCCAGGCCAACUCCUUCCAGGCAACAGCAGCCGCCUUCUGAAGUAAACCAUGAGGACUGGGACCCAGCUCUGAAUGUUCACCCACUGUACUUGGGAACGAAUAAAAAUAAAUUAUAGGAACUCUGAAGUGAAGGGGGCAAUUCGGUCAACCUGUUGUGCAAGGUUUCUCAGGGCACUUUUUGUUAGUUCUUCUCAAAGUUUCUUCAAGAUGGUGCCAACAUGGUAAGAGAGUUUUUGGGCUGGCCAGGGCCCAUCUACUCCAGGCUGGCAGCAUUGUUUUCUCUUUGUACUGUUAGUCUUUUUUUCUUCUUUUUCCUCCUUCUUCAAGUCCAGAGCAGUGUCAGCAGGGUGGUGGCUGCGGCAUCAGCAGCAUGGUUCAGGAUUCCUGGUGGCGGCAGUAGGCCCAGUGUCCAGAUUCUUGGCAGUAGCAGUGCCCGGAUUGGGGACUCCUAGUGGCAAUAGGCCUAGAACCUGGAUUCUUGGCAGUAGCAGUUCCUGGAACCUGGAGUAUUCAUGGUAUUGGCAAGGUGGCAGCAGAGCUGGGGUCUUCUGGGGCAUUGAUGUCAACAUUGCUGUACCUGGAGUGGGACUUCUUGAGGACCAGAACACCUUCCAGCCAUCUUGCAGAAGCCAUGCUUGAGAUCCCAAUUUCACCAAAAGAUGAACUCUAAAUUUAUUUCUUUUUACCCUUGUAACUUAAAAUGGCACUGGAUUGUGGCAGCAAAACACUUUUCAUUCAAACUUCAAGAUAUGUGACAAUAAAUCAUUCAUUCUUCAUAAAUCAUCCAUUCAUUCAAGUUGGUAUUGCUGACAGGGUUAGCAUUGAUUUCCUGUUGAGUCUCUGGUGCUUGACCCAAUCCUGUUAGAUCAGGAUUUUCAUGGCUUAGACCAGAGCUGGUGAUUUGUAUAUGAAUUUGGUGACAGUGGUGAUGUUCCCUCACAUCUGCUGACCUUGUCGUUUUGGAUAAAGAUUGUGAGUUUGCAGAUUUUUUUUUUUAUAAAACAGUUGCCAAUUUGCUAUUAUUUUGUGCACCUGACAUGUAGAGCACACCGCGCAGCAGCCAGAGAGGGAAUGAAUAUGUAAGGUAGUCAAUAAUGGUGUUCAAGUGCGCUAGUUUGGUCUGAAUAGUGUAAAGUUUCUCAACUAUUGUUUGGAGCUGCAUUCAUCCACACAAGUGAUCCUAACUUGUAUCAUGUAGACAGACUGAGUCAGAAGAUGAGUCUCUUGCUGCAGAAUACUGAUGCUCUGAUCUGCUUCUGCAGCUCUCGCAUUUAUGUGGUCGGGCCAAAUUAAAAUUCUGAUCAGUGGGAUUGCUAUGGAUGUGAAAAUCACAAAAAUAAAAGCAAAAUUCUGCAGAUGCUGGAAAUCUGAAAUUAAAAAAAGAUGCUUUAGAAACUCAGAUCUGGCAGCAUCUGUGGAGAGAGAAACAGUGACAAGAUUUUGAGUCCAAUGUUCUAAAGAAUUCUUGGACUAGAAACUUUACCUGUUUCCCUACAGAGAUGCUGUCAUAACUGCUAAGUUUCUUUAGUAAUUUGUUAUAUAACAAUCACAGAAUUGAGUUCUCCAGUUUCAAAUAACUUCCCUUCACAUCUACAUCCAGCCUCUCCCCUCCCCAUCCCAUUUACUGCACUCUACCAUCAACAGGAUUCAUUCCUCCCAUUGACCAACCAGAUCAUACCCUCUACCUGUCUUCACCUAUACCCUCUUCAGCACUCUGCACCCGCUACCCCCUUUACCUGCAGCUCCCUCCACACCCACCCCCAGUCCUGAAGAAGGGUUACACCCGAAAUGUCAACUUUUCUACCCCUGAUGCUGCCUGGCAUGCUGUGUUCUUCCAGCAUCUGCAGUUUCUUUUUGUCUCUAAGGUUCAGAAGAAAGCAAUUCAUCGUAUUGUGUAUACACUUGCUCUUUGAAUUAAUAUUUUGACUAGGUGCCAUUCUCUUGCCUUAUCCCAUAAUCCUGAAUGUAAUAACCAUUAAAUAUCCUUUUCAAUAUCUCAAUUGAACCUGUCUCCUCUGCACUCUUAGGCAGUGUUGCUUCAAAUCCUAACUAUUCACAUUGCAAUAAAAGUAUUUCUCACAUCA